UUUUUGUACCCGUUAUUUAUUGCUGACCCCCACCACACCCACCCCCAGCCAUGUCAGCGCCCCACGGCCAGACCCUGUGAGUGUUGCACUCACUGGUUAUUUAUUCACCCAAAAAAGGUAUUUAUUGUCUCCUUCCUAGUGCUGUUUAAUGCUGCCAAUAAAAGCUAACAGCUCCUGGCACAGUCCUCGCUCUGCUCCCGGGGCAUUGGGAUGUUGGGAAUUGGGGCACAUCCCUGGGCAAUGCCCGGCGCUGGGACACCCCUCAGGGUGGGCAGAGCACCAGUGCAGCAGGGCAGGAUGAACUGGGAGGUGAUGGGGAGGGCAGCAGGGCACGGGGGUGCCCCACAACACCCCCAGCCCCGGGGGGGACCCAGCCCUGGCACCCCGACACCCACACCUUUCCCACGGAGCUGGUGCCACCUGCCAGGGUGCUGGCAGCACCUCGGGGGCCUCUGGGCCACCUGCAGCCCCUGAGGGGCCUGGAGCACUACCUGGAGCAGCUGCUGAUCCCAGUGGGAUCAAGGAUUUGGGAUUUGGCACCCACAUCGCACCGGAGAACGUGCAGCACCCACGUGUGGGACUGGGAAGGGAAAUGCUCCCCACAUUCCCUGCUGGGGUUACCCCCGGUUUUGGGGGCUCCUUUGGGACUCCCUGUGCACCCCCAGUGCAGGGCCCCCCCCCAUUCCACCCCACUGUGGCUCCAUAAGGAUUUUGGGAGGGGACCCUGCCGUGGCCAUACUCUGCACACCGACAUCCUGGAUUUACCCACAACUGCACCGUUUGUCCCCAAAACACCUCCCCAGUCCUGUCCCAGCCCCCCAGGAGCAGGGCAGGACUGGGAGGGUUCCCCUGGAGCAGGAGGCAGGGGCAGCCACUGCCUUUCCCACUUUUUAUUGCAACAGCAACUGCAGAAAGGACAAAAACCAAGGAGAGCGGGAGCAGAGCUGCCUGAUCCCCCCGGGAGCUGGGGAUUCCCUGAAAGCUGGAGUUCCACAGGGAUUUGGGGAUCCCCCAGGGAACUGGGGGUGCCCGGGGAGUUGGGACCCUCAGGGAGCUGAGCAUGCCCAGGGAUCCAGAGUUUCCCAGGAACUGGAGACUCACAGGGAGCUGAGACUCCCCAAGGAUUUGGGGGAUCCUUAGGGAAGGCCUUGGGGGCUGCAGAUCCCACAGGAAGCUGAAGAUUCUUAGGGAUUUGGGGAGGUCCAGGAGCUGGGGAGUUCCUGGGAGCUGGAGACCCCACUGGGAGUUGAGCAGGCCCAGGGAUUUGGGAAUCUCCUGAAACUGGGAAGCCCCCGAGGGCUGGAAACCCCACAAGGAGCAUCCCAUCACUGGGAAUUUGGGAGCUGAGCUUCUUAAGGGAUCUGGGGAUCUGUGGGAGACGGAGAUCCUACAGGGAGCUGAGCAUUGCUGGG
rnacentral:lncRNA from 1 species